AGUAGUCUGAAGGAUCGAGAGAUGAAGGGCGAGGAACGGGACAGCCAACUGGUAAAAGGAGUAACGGCGUUAUCGUAGGGACAAUAAACCACGAGGGAUAUGGAAGGAUAUCCCGAUUCUCGAAACGGCGGUAGAGAAGAUAGUGUCUGUCUAAAUUAGGCAGGGGCGUCGUGAACGAAAGGAAGCAUAGCUUCUGGAUCGGCUUACUGUAGUUCCCAGUGUACAGGGCGAUGAGGUGGUUGAGAGACCGAAUGUACACCUACA
rnacentral:sRNA from 1 species